rnacentral:rRNA from 1 species
CGUGUGCUUACAAGUAGUCAGAGCCCGUUAAUGGGUGAUGGCGUGCCUUUUGUAGAAUGAACCGGCGAGUUACGAUUUGAUGCAAGGUUAAGCAGUAAAUGUGGAGCCGUAGCGAAAGCGAGUCUGAAUAGGGCGUUUAGUAUUUGGUCGUAGACCCGAAACCAGGUGAUCUACCCUUGGUCAGGUUGAAGUUCAGGUAACACUGAAUGGAGGACCGAACCGACUUACGUUGAAAAGUGAGCGGAUGAACUGAGGGUAGCGGAGAAAUUCCAAUCGAACCUGGAGAUAGCUGGUUCUCUCCGAAAUAGCUUUAGGGCUAGCCUCAAGUGAUGAUUAUUGGAGGUAGAGCACUGUUUGGACGAGGGGCCCCUCUCGGGUUACCGAAUUCAGACAAACUCCGAAUGCCAAUUAAUUUAACUUGGGAGUCAGAACAUGGGUGAUAAGGUCCGUGUUCGAAAGGGAAACAGCCCAGACCACCAGCUAAGGUCCCAAAAUAUAUGUUAAGUGGAAAAGGAUGUGGCGUUGCCCAGACAACUAGGAUGUUGGCUUAGAAGCAGCCAUCAUUUAAAGAGUGCGUAAUAGCUCACUAGUCGAGUGACACUGCGCCGAAAAUGUACCGGGGCUAAACAUAUUACCGAAGCUGUGGAUUGUCCUUUGGACAAUGGUAGGAGAGCGUUCUAAGGGCGUUGAAGCAUGAUCGUAAGGACAUGUGGAGCGCUUAGAAGUGAGAAUGCCGGUGUGAGUAGCGAAAGACGGGUGAGAAUCCCGUCCACCGAUUGACUAAGGUUUCCAGAGGAAGGCUCGUCCGCUCUGGGUUAGUCGGGUCCUAAGCUGAGGCCGACAGGCGUAGGCGAUGGAUAACAGGUUGAUAUUCCUGUACCACCUAUAAUCGUUUUAAUCGAUGGGGGGACGCAGUAGGAUAGGCGAAGCGUGCGAUUGGAUUGCACGUCUAAGCAGUAAGGCUGAGUAUUAGGCAAAUCCGGUACUCGUUAAGGCUGAGCUGUGAUGGGGAGAAGACAUUGUGUCUUCGAGUCGUUGAUUUCACACUGCCGAGAAAAGCCUCUAGAUAGAAAAUAGGUGCCCGUACCGCAAACCGACACAGGUAGUCAAGAUGAGAAUUCUAAGGUGAGCGAGCGAACUCUCGUUAAGGAACUCGGCAAAAUGACCCCGUAACUUCGGGAGAAGGGGUGCUCUUUAGGGUUAACGCCCAGAAGAGCCGCAGUGAAUAGGCCCAAGCGACUGUUUAUCAAAAACACAGGUCUCUGCUAAACCGUAAGGUGAUGUAUAGGGGCUGACGCCUGCCCGGUGCUGGAAGGUUAAGAGGAGUGGUUAGCUUCUGCGAAGCUACGAAUCGAAGCCCCAGUAAACGGCGGCCGUAACUAUAACGGUCCUAAGGUAGCGAAAUUCCUUGUCGGGUAAGUUCCGACCCGCACGAAAGGCGUAACGAUUUGGGCACUGUCUCAACGAGAGACUCGGUGAAAUCAUAGUACCUGUGAAGAUGCAGGUUACCCGCGACAGGACGGAAAGACCCCGUGGAGCUUUACUGUAGCCUGAUAUUGAAAUUCGGCACAGCUUGUACAGGAUAGGUAGGAGCCUUUGAAACGUGAGCGCUAGCUUACGUGGAGGCGCUGGUGGGAUACUACCCUAGCUGUGUUGGCUUUCUAACCCGCACCACUUA